UACGGAGGGUGCGAGCGUUGUCCGGAAUCACUGGGCGUAAAGCGCACGUAGGCGGCUUUGUAAGUUAGAGGUGAAAGCCCAGGGCUUAACCCUGGAAUUGCCUUUAAGACUGCAUCGCUAGAAUCGUGGAGCGGUGAGUGGAAUUCCGAGUGUAGAGGUGAAAUUCGUAGAUAUUCGGAAGAACACCAGUGGCGAAGGCGACUCACUGGACACGUAUUGACGCUGAGGUGCGAAAGCGUGGGGAGCAAACAGG
rnacentral:rRNA from 1 species